rnacentral:lncRNA from 1 species
GUACUUCUACGUGGCCGAGAUGAACAGCCAGACUCUGACGGUUUCCGGCAACGGCACCGUCACCAACGUCACCGCGCGGUACCCACCCGCCGCCGGCACCUUCGUCCCGAACCGCUAUGAUAUCAUCCUCUUCAACACCACCCCGCCCCCCACGCCCACUUCUGUCGGCUACGUCUAUGCGCACAUGAUUAACGCCGUUCUGCCGCCAGCCAACUUCGCUCCCCCGUCGCCGCCGCCGCCGCCGCCACCCAAUGUGUACAACGCCAUCAGCAUCUGGGACGGCAUCACCAAGGAGCCCCUUCUGGCCACUUACGCGGGCCUUGCGUCCGUCCUGAAGAUUCCGGGCAC